CGGGGUGCAGCAGGCGCGAAAACUCCACAAUGUACGACAGUACGAUGGGGUUAUCUCGAGUGCAGUCCGAUAAGGGCUGCUUUUCCAUAGAGUAAUAUCCUGUGGGAAUAAGAGGGGGGCAAGACUGGUGUCAGCCGCCGCGGUAACACCAGCCCCUCGAGUGGUGGGGACUAUUAUUUGGUCUAAAGCGUCCGUAGCUGGCUGUAUCCGUCCCCCGUUAAAUCCAGCGUCCUAAGCGUUGGACUGCGGGUGAUACCAUACAGCUAGAGGGUGGGAUAGGUGAGCGGUAUUUCUGGGGUAGGGGCGAAAUCCUUUGAUCCCAGGAGGACCACCAGUGGCGAAGGCUGCUCACUAGAACACGCCUGACGGUCAGGGACGAAAGCUGGGGCAGCGAACCGGAUUAGAUACCCGGGUAGUCCCAGCUGUAAACGAUGCCAGCUAGGUGUUGGGUCGGCCACGCGCCGCCCCAGUGCCGCAGGGAAGCCGUUAAGCUGGCCACCUGGGGAGUACGGCCGCAAGGCUGAAACUUAAAGGAAUUGGCGGG
rnacentral:rRNA from 1 species